rnacentral:sRNA from 1 species
AAUUCAAGCCGGAGGAAGACUUGGAUUUGAAGAUCGUAAAGAUGAAGCGUUGAAAUACAAGUCUGAUCAAACCAGGGAUCAAUUGAAAAAAUAUUUCAACCCAGAAUUCUUAAACCGUGUCG